rnacentral:misc_RNA from 1 species
UCCGGUUUGUCACCGGCAGUCUGAAGUGAGUCCCCAACUUAAUGCUGGCAACACUUCACAGGGGUUGCGCUCGUUGCGGGACUUAACCGAACAUCUCACGACACGAGCUGACGACAGCCAUGCAGCACCUGUCACCUGGUCACCGAAGUGAAAGAUCCGUCUCCGGAUCGGUCCAGGGAUGUCAAGGGUUGGUAAGGUUCUGCGCGUUGCUUCGAAUUAAACCACAUGCUCCGCUGCUUGUGCGGGUCCCCGUCAAUUCCUUUGAGUUUUAGCCUUGCGGCCGUACUCCCCAGGCGGAGUGCUUAUUGCGUUAGCGACAGCACCGAGGGUUGGUCACCCCCGACACUUAGCACUCAUCGUUUACGGCGUGGACUAC